rnacentral:hammerhead_ribozyme from 1 species
AUCCAGCUGAUGACUCCAAAAUAGGACGAAACGCAAAUCUUGGAU